GAAUAUUGGGCAAUGGGCGAAAGCCUGACCCAGCAACGCCGCGUGAAGGAAGAAGGUUUUCGGAUUGUAAACUUCUGUCCUCAGGGAAGAAGGAAGUGACGGUACCCGAGGAGGAAGCCCCGGCUAACUACGUGCCAGCAGCCGCGGUAAUACGUAGGGGGCGAGCGUUGUCCGGAAUGAAUGGGCGUAAAGGGCGCGUAGACGGCUUUUUAAGUCUGGAGUGAAAGUCCUGCUUUCAAGGUGGGAAUUGCUUUGGAGACUGGAAGGCUUGAGUGCGGAAGAGGUAAGUGGAAUUCCCAGUGUAGCGGUGAAAUGCGUAGAGAUUGGGAAGAACACCAGUGGCGAAGGCGACUUACUGGGCCGUAACUGACGUUGAUGCGCGAAAGCGUGGGGAGCGAACAG
rnacentral:rRNA from 1 species